UCAAAAACAUGUCUUAUUGAUUAUAAUUUUAAGUUUGACCUGCCCAAUGAAAAUUUUGAAUGGCCGCAGUAUUGUGACUGUGCUAAGGUAGCAUAAUUAUUAGUUUCUUAAUUAGGAGCUUGAAUGAAGGGUUUGAUGAAAUAGUUAUUGUCUCUAUUUAAUAUUUUUAAAAUUUUAUUUUUUAGUAAAAAAGCUAAAAUAUUUUUAAAAGACGAGAAGACCCUAUAGAGUUUAAUUUAACAUUUUUUUUUAAUUUUUUUAGAAUUUAAAUUUUUAAUAAAAAUUUAAAUUUAAUUGGGGUGAUUGAAAAACUAAACUAACUUUUUUAUUGUUUUUAACAUUAAUUUAUGAAUGAUUGAUCCAUUUGUUAUGAUUAAAAGAUUAAAUUACCUUAGGGAUAACAGCGUAAUAAUUUCAGAGAGUUCUAAUCGAAGAAAUAGAUUGCGACCUCGAUGUUGGAUUAAAAUUAAUUGUUGGCGUAGUUGUUAACAAGAUUAGGUCUGUUCGACCUUUAAAAUUUUACAUGAUCUGA
rnacentral:rRNA from 1 species